rnacentral:tRNA from 1 species
GGGAUUGUGGCUCAGAGGUAGAGUGCUUGCCUAGCAUGCAUGAGGCACUAGGUUCGAUCCUCAGCACCA